GGCUGGACUGACAAAACUAUUUUAGGGACAUUAUUACCAGCUAUUAAGCGACCGUCUCAUAAGAGUUCAGGAAUACAGGCUGUCAGCUCAGACAGCUAGACAGAAUGGUAGCUAGCAAUCAGCACACUAACUAGCCAAAUUAGCUAACUAGUUAGCGUUAUGUGUAUAAGAAGGUUUUUGAGAGGAGUGAACCACAUCCCCCAGCUACAGAAACACAUUCAGCCUCAGCAGCUUCAACAUUCACCGAUACAACAGCGCAAACUCGCUACAGGAUAGUGACGUGUUUAUCACGGUCACUGCGGACCUGCUCGUGGUGGAAGCCGAGAGCAUGGAGAACUUCGUGCUGCACUGUCUGAUGAUAGAUACAGCCGGAUCUUUGAAGGGACACUUCCUGCUUCCCUCCCUGACGGCCCAAACUCCCUAUUGGUUUAUACUGUGAUCCAUCACACCUACACACGUCACGCCCCCCACACUCCAGGAAGAACAUAGCAGAAGUAUGUAGCCUAGUAUGAAGAUGAUCCGUGCAGAGACUUAAGAGAACUCGAGAAAACUUCCAACUAAGCUUCUUUAAUAUAUUUACAUUCUACUAAAAUGUAUUUGUUUUAGUGGGCAUAUAUGCAGCUGAAACAGGGAGCCUUGUACAUCUCAAACUCUUUUAAUUAUGGCUUUUAGAAUUGUUUUUGGGAAGGGGGGUAGAGCACUAUAGGACCCUUUAGCGUAGUCUAUGCUUUUGUCCUUAAUGGCAUUUUUUUCUCCUUAUAUUACUUUUACUUUUAUACUUUAUUACUAGUACUUUUAUACAAGUACUAGUACCUGUACAUUUUACUUGAGUAAAAAGCUUGAGCUGAUACUAAACCCUAGUAUCUAUACUUCUAUACUAAUAAAUGUGAAUAGUUUGACAUCUAAACAAUGUUCAAGGCUUAAUUCCUUCAUAUGAACUGCCCCAUAUCCCCCAAGUGUAUCCUAACUCAGUUUAAUAAAAGGGCCCAUGUACUUUUACAUAUUUGUGUUAUUAUUAUUAUGAGUUUUGAAACAUCCUAUGUUUAUGUCUUUGAAACAUAUGUCAGUGGGUGAAGUAUCAGUUAGGAGAGUGUUGCGCUAUGCGUCUAUGUUUUUACAGUUAUUGGUUUGACCUGACAAUUACAGUAAAUGUCAGAUAAUUUCUGUCCUUGCGUUAGUAGCAUCUCUGGUUAUACGUACCCAUCUUUCGGUAUGAAGGAUAAGUAAUCCUGUGACGUUUUCCGCCACACAAACCGGAUGCAGGUGGUUCUGUAAAAGCUUGCAAGGCCAUUUAGGAUGACGCUCUUCUCUGCUUCAUCUGUAAAAGAUUUAAAGAAGCAUAUUUAUUGUGUAUCACAAACGUGAGUACAGCCCUCAUUCCCCUCGUAGUCAUUGUAUCAAAAUGUCGUUUUGUCAGU